rnacentral:piRNA from 1 species
GACCAGAUUGAAGAGUGGCUAAAACAGU